UACGAAGGGGGGCUAGCGUUGUUCGGAAUUACUGGGCGUAAAGCGCGCGUAGGCGGCCUCAUAAGUCCGUUGUGAAAGUCAAAGGCUCAACCUUUGAAAGCCGAUGGAUACUGUGAGGCUAGAGUUCGGAAGAGGCGAGUGGAAUUCCUGGUGUAGCGGUGGAAUGCGCAGAUAUCAGGAGGAACACCAAUAGCGAAAGGCAGCUCGCUGGGGACGAUACUACGCUAAGGGCGCGAAAAGCGUGGGGGAGCGAACAGG
rnacentral:rRNA from 1 species